UAAUAUAAUUCAUUUAUUUUUACCCCUGGUGAUUUAAAACCUUAUUUUUACAAAUUUUCCAAGAAAGGUAUGCAUCAUGCUAAGCCCUUGGCCCUUUGGCCCUACGCCCUACGCUAUUGACAUUUGUUGUUGUUGUCGGUUGGUAAGCCUUUGGCCCUUGAUCCUACGUCCCAAGGUUAUUAGACUUUAUACAGGUUACGACAAAAGCCCGUUUUGGCCGAUUUCCAACAAAAAAAUGAAUGAAAAUUUUGACAGACAAAUUGGAAUGGUUUGUUUACAAUUCGACUGGUUUGUUUACAAUUUGUCUGGAUUGCAAUCGUGCUAUGCUGUGAUAAGGAAGAAAUCGAGAAAGUGAGCAUCCAGUAAAAAUAUGCAUUUGUUGUGGUAAUAAGAUCCAACAUGUAGGAGUUUAACAUUGUGUCAGGUAAAACGAUUAUAUCAAGCAAGCGGAAGAUUGCUUUAAAAUCAUUCGCUUUUCAGCAUUAUUAGCAUUACGGACCAGGAGAUAAAUGAGCGAGUGAAGUACCCAGCUAGAAAGCAUAUGUUGAAGGGAAAAUGUAUGCAGUUGCUAUAACUUGUGCGAUUUCUCAUAUACGUGUGCAGUGCAGACACAGUUUCAUCUUACGAGUUUCCUUUCCGACCAACAACAGUUCAGUAACUAUGAAGAGGGAGGGGGCA